UGUUGUUGCCAUGGUAAUCCUGCUCCAUAUGAGAGGAACCACAGGUUCAGAUACUUGGUGUAUAGGCUUCACUGAGGAGCCAAUGGGGAGAAGCUACCAUCUGUGGGAUUAUGAUUGAACGCCUCUAAGUCAGAAUCCAGCCCAGGUGGAAGAUAUGGCAGUGCAGGGGGAACCUUGGUUGGGCUAGGAUCGUUGGCCUCGGAUAGUCGGUCCCCUCCUGUCCCCACCAGCGUUGGGACCAGUUCGGUGCAGAGAGCCCUUUGUCUUGGGACAUCGGGCGCCAUACUGCCAGAAAGGUGGCUACCUCCUUGCCCGUCCCACACAUUUGUGGGGAACCUGAUGCUAAAACAUUCGUAGACAAUCUGCUUCUGGGUAGGGGUUUUGUAUGUAGCAGAGCAGCACCCUCCCUGCUAUCCACUGAAAGUCAGCCCUGUAUACAGAGUUUG
rnacentral:ncRNA from 1 species